AAGUAGCAGUCUGUGGUAGAUAAUAAAACUUGCUUAAUAUAACUUGAACACUUGAGGGGAAAAGUGUAACCCAUUCCUGCAGUCUCUCCUGAAUGAGACCAUCUGUUAUAUGUACUUGAUGAAU
ensembl:snoRNA